CCAAAGUCUUGAGUACAGAGUGUAGACUUUGAUACAUUCUGUUAAUUAAACUUUGGAAAAUUGAAAUAACCACAGCUACACUAAUUAUUCACUAAUUAAUUCAUUGUGAAUGAGAGAUAGCAGUGAUUAACAU